UAGUUCUUAUUGGUUAGUUGUGAUUAGUUGUGUUAUGGUGGGCCUGUUAGUGUAUAGGUUAGAAAUAGGUUAGUUUAAUCACAUUAUAUACAUAUACAGGUUAUGUUCUAGCAGAACUGGGGGUUACGGGAGAAAAAGGAAAGAACAGCGAGUGGCGGCGGCGAGAGAAAGAGAGGAAGAAAGAGAGAAAAAAAGAAAGAAAAAAGAAAGAGAGAAGUGGAAAUUGGAGAACGGCGUGGGCUUCGAUCCGGAGCCUUAAAGGUCCUCGACAGUUCCAGACGUAGACUCAGUUCGUGCAGAGCAGAGGCCAGACUUCAUCACUCUUCCAGUGUCAUAGACGUACUACCUCCACUAUGUUUUCGUUAUUAUUUAUUAUUUUUGAGUUAGACAUUUAUUUAUUUCGUCUUUAGUUUGGAUUUUUAUUAGGGGUCCACAUUGUAUGGAUUCCCAAGUUGUACUCUGGAGGUUUUAUUCUUAUAAUGAGAAUUUAUUGGAGAUUAAUGUAUUGGAGGAUUUAUUAUUUAAUUAUUAAUUUAGAUUUCCCUUACAACGUUA